rnacentral:rRNA from 1 species
UACGGAGGGGGCUAGCGUUGUUCGGAAUUACUGGGCGUAAAGCGCACGUAGGCGGACUGUUAAGUCGGGGGUGAAAUCCUGGGGCUCAACCUCAGAAUUGCCCUCCGAUAACUGGCAGUCUCGAGUGCGGGAGAGGUGAGUGGAAUUCCCAGUGUAGAGGUGAAAUUCGUAGAUAUUCGGAAGAACACCAGUGGCAAAGGCGGCUCACUGGACUGGUAUUGACGCUGAGGUG